rnacentral:rRNA from 1 species
UACGUAGGGGGCAAGCGUUGUCCGGAAUCAUUGGGCGUAAAGAGCGUGUAGGCGGCCAGGUAGGUCUGCUGUGAAAACUCGAGGCUCAACCUCGAGACGUCGGCGGAAACCAUCUGGCUAGAGUCCGGAAGAGGAGAGUGGAAUUCCUGGUGUAGCGGUGGAAAUGACGCAGAUAUCAGGAAGAACACCCGUGGCGAAGGCGGCUCUCUGGGACGGUACUGACGCUGAGACGGCGAAAGCGUGGGGAGCGAACAGG